GGUGAACCUGCGGAGGGAUCAUUGAAACCGAUCAAUCCACUCACAGAGCACCAGCGGGGUUCGCCCCGCCGUAGUUUUGGAUCCGCCGGUCCUCGCGGGCCGGUUGGAGCCUCCAACCCAGCAAACCCUCUGCCCUGAAGCAGCUUCGCACGGGGNACACCCCCUGCGACGUUAACCAGAGACAACUCUCAACAACGGAUAUCUAGGCUCUCGCAACGAUGAAGAACGCAGCGAAAUGCGAUACGUAGUGUGAAUUGCAGAAUUCCGUGAGUCAUCGAAUCUUUGAACGCACAUUGCCGGUCGACUCUUCGGAGGAGACCACAUCUGCCUCAGCGUCGGAAUACCCCCUCACCCGUGCGGACAUGCGUGUCCGCACAGUGGAACUGGCCCCCCCGGGCGCGACCUCGUCGCCCGGGCCGGCUGAAAUGCAGAGGCUCGCGCGCGGCCCACUCGUGGCCCCGACUAGGUAGGUAGCUCGCUACUGCUAGGCGGCGGCUCGGCGCUCGCGUGCUGUGGGCCCGAAAGGAUAACCCCUCAUUCAUUCGACCUGAGUUCAGGUGAGGCUACCCGCUGAACUUAAGCAUAUCAAUAAGC
rnacentral:rRNA from 1 species